rnacentral:tRNA from 1 species
AUUUAAAUAGCUUAAAAUUAGAGCAUAUCACUGAAGAUGCUAGUGUGAUUAAAUAAUCUUUAAAUA